AUUGAACGCUGGCGGCAUGCCUUACACAUGCAAGUCGAACGGCAGCACGGGGGCAACCCUGGUGGCGAGUGGCGGACGGGUGAGUAACACAUCGGAACGUGCCCUGGAGUGGGGGAUAACGCAGCGAAAGCUACGCUAAUACCGCAUAUUCUGUGAGCAGGAAAGCAGGGGAUCGCAAGACCUUGCGCUUUGGGAGCGGCCGAUGUCGGAUUAGCUAGUUGGUAGGGUAAAGGCCUACCAAGGCCACGAUCGGUAGCUGGUCUGAGAGGAUGAUCAGCCACACUGGGACUGAGACACGGCCCAGACUCCUACGGGAGGCAGCAGUGGGGAAUAUUGGACAAUGGGCGCAAGCCUGAUCCAGCAAUGCCGCGUGUGUGAAGAAGGCCUGCGGGUUGUAAAGCACUUUCAGUGGGGAAGGAACAGAUUCGGGUCGAAUACCCGGACGCCUCGACGUUACCCUACCAGAAGAAGACACCGGCGUAACUACCGUCG
rnacentral:rRNA from 1 species